UACGUAGGGUGCGAGCGUUAAUCGGAAUUACUGGGCGUAAAGCGUGCGCAGGCGGUUUGGUAAGACAGAUGUGAAAUCCCCGGGCUUAACCUGGGAAUUGCGAUGGAGACUGCAAGGCUGGAGUCUGGCAGAGGGGGGUAGAAUUCCGCGUGUAGCAGUGAAAUGCGUAGAUAUGCGGAGGAACACCGAUGGCGAAGGCAAUCCCCUGGGCCUGCACUGACGCUCAUGCACGAAAGCGUGGGGAGCAAACAGG
rnacentral:rRNA from 1 species